CCGGCCCCCAGGGCUGUGGGUGCAGUUUGGGGGGGGCUGUACAUCAUCACGGUCCUGCCUACGACAUAAACUUUAUGCUGCGUAUCAAGUCACGUGAGCACCAAAACUUGAUCUUUCUGAGAGCUUCUUGUAUGCAGCCAGCUAAAUAACAAAGGCUUGUGUCAUAAAAGGAUGAAUAAGAUUAUUCUGGUAGCAUACAUACCGAAGGAUGUGUCCCAUGAUUGCAACUCUGGGCUGCAGUCAGUUGUUGUUUGAGAUAGCAUGAGGAAAUGAGCAGAAUGUGCUAUUUACACAGCAUGAAUUUGUGCAGUUAGGAUCUUGGGAGUGCACAGAAACAGGAACCAAAAGUUAUUAAUUAGGCUCCAUGUUAAGGGAGGAGGAGAAAGCCUGCUGCAUGGAUGUACAAGUAGCACCUGUGAAGAAAGUAAACUAUCCUGUGAAGAAUUUACAGGAUUGAGAGACACAAGGGUCCUGGCUCUCAGAAGAACUCCUACCUGUGGAAGUAUACUAUUUGUUAUUGGGUAAGUAUUUCCCAGAGCCCCAUGUCAAAGGAGUCACCACUCUGGGUCUGCCUGUGCUUUCUGAGUCAGAAAUUGCAUAGAGAUAUUCUGUGUAAAGAACCAUGAGGGAAUUGAGGUUUAUUUGAUUUUUUAUUAUUCUUAUUACUAUUACCACUCAUACUUUACACUAUGGUCCUCUGUAAUAUCAUGCUUGAAUCAGUUACACAAGGUAGUUAUUAAUUCUGAAUAAUAAUUUGUAUUAAACUUGCUGGAAUAUAUUGCUAUGUCUUUGUUUGUUGUAGUCUGCAAAUAGGAAAUAAUUAUUCCUUAGUUGUCUUUAAUCAAUACCUUGCUCCAGGUACUACUUAGAAAAUCUUUAGGCUGAGGUGGAGCUUGGGCACUGUCAUAUGGCAACUCUGGAGGCAGUGUUGGACAACAUGAGGGCCAUCUGCAGAAUCUGCACUCAACAAUCACAACUCUGUGAAACUCUUAAAUAAAACUAUUUCACAACAAGAUUGUGGAACA
rnacentral:lncRNA from 1 species